GAUGAACGCUAGCGGCAGGCCUAACACAUGCAAGUCGAGGGGCAGCACAGAAACAGCAAUGUUUUGGUGGCGACCGGCGGACGGGUGCGUAACGCGUAUGCAACCUACCUUUAACAGGGGGAUAACGGAGAGAAAUUUCCACUAAUACCCCAUAACAUCGAUCAAGGCAUCUUGAUUGGUUGAAAACUCCGGUGGUUAAAGAGGGGCAUGCGUUGUAUUAGGUAGUUGGUGAGGUAAUGGCUCACCAAGCCUACGAUACAUAGGGGGACUGGGAGGUUAGCCCCCCACACUGGUACUGAGACACGGACCAGACUCCUACGGGAGGCAGCAGUGAGGAAGAUUGGUCAAUGGGGGCAACCCUGAACCAGCCAUGCCGCGUGCAGGAAGACGGCUCUAUGGGUUGUAAACUGCUUUUAAACAGGGAUAAAGCACAGUAUGUAUACUGUGUUGAAGGUACUGUAAGAAUAAGGAUCGGCUAACUCCGUGCCAGCCGCCGCGGUAA
rnacentral:rRNA from 1 species